AAAAAGAUAAAUCCUAGAUUUCCGUGCCAACGUUUGACUAUCCGUCUUAUAUGAUAAAACAUGAUUAAUACUUUAUGUGUGACUUAUCUUUUUAAUUUUUUUCAUAAUUUUUUCAAAUAAGACGGACGGUCAAACGUUGAACACGGAAACUAGGGUUUGUCUUUUU
rnacentral:pre_miRNA from 1 species